GAUGAAGAACGUAGCGAAUUGCGAUAUGUAAUGUGAAUUGCAGAAUUCAGUGAAUCAUCGAGUCUUUGAACGCACAUUGCGCCCCCUGGUAUUCCGGGGGGCAUGCCUGUCCGAGCGUCAUUGCUGCCCUCAAGCACGGCUUGUGUGUUGGGCCCCCGUCCCCGGUUUCCCCCGGGGACGGGCCCGAAAGGCAGCGGCGGCACCGCGUCCGGUCCUCGAGCGUAUGGGGCUUUGUCACCCGCUCUGUAGGCCCGGCCGGCGCCAGCCGACACCCAACUUUAUUUCUAAGGUUGACCUCGGAUCAGGUAGGGAUACCCGCUGAACUUAAGCAUAUCAAUAAGCGGAGGA
rnacentral:misc_RNA from 1 species